UACGUAGGGGGCAAGCGUUGUCCGGAAUCAUUGGGCGUAAAGAGCGUGUAGGCGGCCAGGUAAGUCCGCUGUGAAAUCUCGAGGCUCAACUUCGAGCUGUCGGUGGAAACUGUCUGGCUAGAGUCCGGAAGAGGAGAAUGGAAUUCCUGGUGUAGCGGUGAAAUGCGCAGAUAUCAGGAAGAACACCCGUGGCGAAGGCGGUUCUCUGGGACGGUACUGACGCUGAGACGCGAAGGUCAGGGGAGCAAACGGG
rnacentral:rRNA from 1 species